UACGAAGGGUCCAAGCGUUAUCCGGAUUUAUUGGGUUUAAAGGGUGCGUAGGCGGCUUAUUAAGUCAGUGGUGAAAGCCUGUAGCUUAACUACAGAACUGCCAUUGAUACUGAUGAGCUUGAAUAUACUUGAGGUUGGCGGAAUGUGUCAUGUAGCGGUGAAAUGCUUAGAUAUGACACAGAACACCGAUUGCGAAGGCAGCUAGCUAAAGUACAAUUGACGCUGAUGCACGAAAGCGUGGGGGAGCAAACAGG
rnacentral:rRNA from 1 species